rnacentral:lncRNA from 1 species
GAAGAUGUAGUUUAAAUUGAACAAAUUUUUAGAUAAAUUAGAGUUUAGAUAAAAAUUAUUUAUUUUUUACCUUUUUUAUAGUUAUAAAAUUGAAUUUUUUUUAAUUUUAUUAUUUAUUUGACAGAAAAUUUUUUUAGGGGCCAUUUGGUUAGAUGUAAUUAUAAAUGCAGUGUAGUUAGAAAUGCAUGUAAUUGAAAAUACAACAGUUAUAACUAUAUAAAUCUUGCUUGGUUGGAUAUAGUAGAAAGCGCUGCAAAUAUAAAUAAUUUGUUUGGUUGCAUGCAGUUAAAAAAUAAUUUUUAAAAGUUUAUUAUUUUAUAUAUAUGAUAGUGAGAUUACCUCCAAUGUAAAGAAGAAAAAUAAUUUUUAUUUUAAAAAUAUUGAGAAGGUAAGCAUACCUUCUAUUUAAAAUUAAUCUCUCCAACUGCUGUAGUUGGAACUACAGCCAUUUUGGGCGUAGUUCAAAUUGCUAUAGUUGGGCCUCCUUUUGCAGUUUCUACUGUAGCAGUUGGAGUUAAAUACAUCAAACCAAGCACAAAAUUUGUAUUUACAUGCAGUUACAACUGCAAUGCAGCUGCAACUACACGUAACCAAACGGCCAUUUAGAGGAGGAUAGCAUGCUAGGCACUUCGUUUAUUUUUUUAUAAAUAAAUUUAAUUAAAAAUAUAAAGUAUUUAGACUUUAAACUACUAACUAUUAAGCUUUUUGCUACUUACACUAGAGGUGGUCGAUAUUUAUUUAAUAGAAAAUAAACAAGGUAAGAAUUAAA